rnacentral:lncRNA from 1 species
GUAAGGGAUAAAUUUUAUCGCUAUUUCAGACUUUUGUUACUCCUCUUCUUGGCUUCUCAGAUAAUCGCAUGGUUUGAUUUCGCCGUAAAGCCUUUUUGAAAUCUGACACAGCGGUUGGAUUAACAAGAAGUUUAUCUUUAAGCUGGUGUAUAACAUUUUUAUCUUUUAUGUAUGUUUAUUAUGAGAAUUUCCGUUUUGUUGAGUUUCACGCUCUGCAAUUUCACCGGAUGUUGUUUGAGACAGUGGAUUACUGAACAAAAUGCGCUAACAAAACGGAGGUUUUUGAAUAUAAAGAGGGACUUUAUCGAACAAAACAAACAUUUAUUGGGUAACUGGGAGUCUUGUGAGUGUAACCAUAUGAAGAUCAUCAAAGGUCUGGAUAUGAAUGUCUCUGGGCUCUACAGUGCAACCUGCAUACCGCCAGCUGCCAGCCAGGGCCCGGAUUCCCAAAAGCAUCUUAAGGCUAAGUUCAUCAUUAGAGCCGUGGUAGGAGCAUCGUGAAAAAUCAGAGCUGUUUCCCAAAACCAUCGUUACUAACGGUGCACUUGAAAACGCUCGUAAUCUAACGCCUGGCUCAGACCACUCGUAGAACAGCU